CCUCACUGUUGGAAUCUUGUUUACUGAUGGAUUGGUCCCAGUUUCGUUAUGGUUCCUGAUCGGAGUUGGCUGGAUUUCGGGUCGCCUGUUCUGUUUGGUUUGGACUGUUUCAUCGUUCCUGUUUUGUGGUUGUGUCGCAUCUCCAAAGAAAGAGGAAAUGUGUAGGGAUGUGCUGACUAUUAUACUGGGACUUGGUAUGGG